rnacentral:rRNA from 1 species
AGCAUAUAAAUAAGCGGAGGAAAAGAAACUAACUAGGAUUGGUCCAGUAACGGCGAGUGAAGCGCCAAUAGCCCAGCAUGUGAAUCGUCACUUGUGUCGAAUUGUGGUAUGCCGACCUCUUUGCUAAGCUCGCGGGUAAAGUCCCCUGGAAUGGGGCAGCACAGAGGGUGAGACUCCCGUUUGCCCGUGAUCGUGAGAACUGGUCCGAUGAGUCGAGUUGCUUGGGAUUGCAGCUCCAAGAUGGUGGUAAAUUCCAUCCAAGGCUAAAUACUGGUGAGAGACCGAUAGCGUACAAGUACCGUGAGGGAAAGAUGCAAAGCCGCGCGAGAGCGCCGUCAAAGAGUACCUGAAAUUGCUGAAAGGAAAGCGAAGGAAGCCAGUGUUAGCCGCCCCGCACUUCUCCGCCGGCUUUGCCGUUGGAGCGCUGUGGUGUGGCGCUGUUCCUCUUGUUGGUCUGCAGCGGAAAAGAGAUUUGACGCGGAGGGCUGCCGAGAGGAACGAAAUGGAU